AUUGAACGCUGGCGGCAGGCCUAACACAUGCAAGUCGAACGGUAACAGGAAACAGCUUGCUGUUUCGCUGACGAGUGGCGGACGGGUGAGUAAUGUCUGGGAAACUGCCUGAUGGAGGGGGAUAACUACUGGAGACGGUAGCUAAUACCGCAUAACGUCGCAAGACCAAAGAGGGGGACCUUCGGGCCUCUUGCCAUCGGAUGUGCCCAGAUGGGAGUAGCUAGUAGGUGGGGUAACGGCUCACCUAGGCGACGAUCCCUAGCUGGUCUGAGAGGGUGAACAGCCACACUGGAACUGAGACACGGUCCAGACUCCUACGGGAGGCAGCAGUGGGGAAUAUUGCACAAUGGGCGCAAGCCUGAUGCAGCCAUGUCGCGUGUAUGAAGAAGGCCUUCGGGUUGUAAAGUACUUUCAGCGGGGAGGAAGGGAGUAAAGUUAAUACCUUUGCUCAUUGACGUUACCCGCAGAAGAAGCACCGGCUAACUCCGUGCCAGCAGCCGCCGUAA
rnacentral:rRNA from 1 species